rnacentral:rRNA from 1 species
GAUGAACGCUGGCUACAGGCUUAACACAUGCAAGUCGAGGGGAAACGACGGGGAAGCUUGCUUCCCCGGGCGUCGACCGGCGCACGGGUGAGUAACGCGUAUCCAACCUGCCUCUGACUGAGGACUAACCCGUCGAAAGUCGGCCUAAUACCUCAUGGCAUCGUCUGCGGGCAUCCAACGACGAUUAACGAUUUCAUCGGUCAGAGAUGGGGAUGCGUCUGAUUAGCUUGUUGGCGGGGUAACGGCCCACCAAGGCGACGAUCAGUAGGGGUUCUGAGAGGAAGGUCCCUCACAUUGGAACUGAGACACGGUCCAAACGCCUACGGGAGGCAGCAGUGAGGAAUAUUGGGAAAUGGGCGAGAGCCUGAACCAGCCAAGUAGCGUGCAGGAUGACGGCCCUAUGGGUUGUAAACUGCUUUUAUGCGGGGAGAAAGUGAGGGACGUGUCCUUCAUUGAAGGUACCGAAUGAAUAAGGACCGGCUAAUUACGUG